rnacentral:misc_RNA from 1 species
GAUGAAGAACGUAGCGAAAUGCGAUAAGUAAUGUGAAUUGCAGAAUUCAGUGAAUCAUCGAAUCUUUGAACGCACCUUGCGCUCUUUGGUAUUCCGAAGAGCAUGCCUGUUUGAGUGUCAUGAAAAUAUCAACCUUGACUUGGGUUUUGUGCUCUAGUCUCGGCUUGGAAUUGGGUGCUUGCCGCUUUAACGAGCGGCUCACCUUAAAUGUAUUAGCUGGAUCUGUCUUUGAGACUUGGUUUGACGUGGCGUAAUAAGUAUUUCGCUAAGGACAUUCUUCGGAGUGGCCUCGUUUCUAGGACGCUUGUCCGCUUUCCAAUACAAGUUCCACCUCGUGGACAUGAAUUUUUAUUAUCUGGCCUCAAAUCAGGUAGGACUACCCGCUGAACUUAAGCAUAUCAAUAAGCGGAGGA